GCAUGGCUGCGGAGCAGGUGUUGGGGGGCUGCGGGUGGGGAGAGGAGCAGCCCCGAGCCGCGGCCCCGAGGCGGGGAAGCAGCGCUCUGAAGGGCGAGGGUGCCUGCUGAGAGUUCUUAUGAUGCACAGAAAAACAUUGGUGUUCAUCCGGCCGCCCAAGUGACGUGAAAACUGGCAGAAAAGGAGAACGAGAGAGGGGAAAUGAGUACUGGCAAUACUCAGGCCUGAAAAAUGCAUGAAAAUAAGACAACAACGGGGACGGUCGGUGAGGGAGGCAGGCAAACGCUUCAAAAUGCGGAUAAAAAACAUUGUGGAGCCGAGUGCGAGGGUGUGUUAAGAGAACACCGCUGAAGGAGCGAAUUUUUGUGAGCCGAUAAAGGUCUAUUAGCAGCUGUUACCCCUCGGUGCUGAUAGAGCCGCGUCCGAGGCCUGCAGGCUCCCUCUGCUGUAGCGGAGCUGAAUGGGAAGGGCUGUGUGCGGUUAUCUCCCUUGUGCGGGAGGCACGAACAUGAGGUCACCCCUGUAUGUAUAGAUCUGUUAAAUCAACCUGUUCAAUAACGCACACAGCCAGCCCAGAGCAGGCGACAAGACAAGAAGAUUCCUUAUUUGCGCUGUCUGCUCAAAGGUAUUUGUAUCCUUGGGAAACAUCAGUGCAAGAAAACAAGGCAGGAAAUUGUGUGCUGAGAUUCUGCUGCCAUUUUGAUUGAUGUGCUUUCCUAACAAACACAAAUACGCAGCCUAAUGGAUGAAAAAUAGCUCACAAAAUAAUGUGAUUUCACCUGGAACAGAACUCCCAGAAAGCCAAGUCUGUGUCAGGCAGGGUGCUCCAUGGGCUAGAAAAACCUUUAUUCAAAGCAGAACUUGAGCAAACUUCUCAUCAGUGGGUCAGGAGACACUGCAAGGCAAUCUGUCAUCACGCUGCAAGGAUAUACUCAAGACCAGAAUAGCUGGAGUCAGCAUGAAAACACAGCUUUUUGGCAAAGUUGGACUCAUGAGCUGGCAAACAACUUCAGGAGACAGCGGACUCUAAUUAGAAUCAAGAAGCUGGCCACGUCUGGUGGUAUUUCAGCGGGGAGGCAGUGUUCCACUGAGCAGCACCAGCUCUGUAACGCUGAACAUGUGCCAGACCUGGGCAAUAAAAGGGACCUUGUUCUGCUUCAGCUUCAGACUUGUCCAGCAUCGUGCAGUGACACUUGGAGAUCUUCCAACAACUUGUGUCACAGGCUCUACUGGAGCAGAGGACAAAGUAACCUAACUACUACCCAGCUUUGUGCUGAAACAAAGCUGUUCCCAUGCGUGUCAGUUUAGAAAGUUACUACUGAAUAUAAAAGUCAUUUAAAAACAUCUCUGUCCAAAGACAUAUGAAAUGCAUGCUGCUGUCUUUUUCCAUUACAAAAUUUAAAUGAAGAAGAACACAAAAAGCAGAUGAAAUUUGGUUUUAGAGAGUACCAAGGAAGGAGGAAAAGGUGAGCAACACCUAAUAGAUAUUGAAUGCUUGUUGAGCUGUUUUUAAUAGCCACUUUACUUCAUUAAGCCUAGUCAUACCUAUUCCCAUAGAUCGUUCCAGAAGCUACAGACAGCAACUCCUAAGUGGGUCAUAUGGGGCUGGAGGCUCCAUUCAUUGAACUGUAGCCAUGAGACUCCAACAGCAGGGCCAUGGCACUACCUGCUGCACAAGUUUAUAUGAAAAUAAUGAGAUAGAUAUGUAAAAAUACUCAUGAGGUAAUAGAGAAAAUAUGAUAAAGGUAGGUAUGCAUCUCCUUCCACACCAAAAAUAGUAUAGAGCUCCUCAGCCUGGAAAAAACAACAGAUGAUAGAAUAAACUUUAAAAAAUCACAGAAGACAGUGAAUAAGGAACAGUUGUUCACAGUUUCUUCCAGUGCAAGACCUGCAUAUCAUCAAAUAAUAGCAAGCUCAAAUGAAAGUGAGGCACUUUUUCCAUGAAACAUUUUGCUACAGGAAACUGUGAAUACUGAGUGUUUACAUCAAUUCCAAAAGCCCUGCAACAAAUUCAUAGAGGAGAAACCUGUUAGGCACUAUUAAACACAAGGAAACUGGCUGCAGGUCAGGAAGCCCUGGAGCAGUCUCAGCUGUGUAAUCUGUGCCACGUCACGUGAGCUGCUCUCACAUUCCUUCUUAGCCAGCCCCUAUUGCAAUAUGCUACAUCAACAAAAUACUGUGACAGAGGAGCCUUGGAGCUGACCAGAUGUGGCCAUUUCUGUUUCUGGCACAGCAGUUUUGCCUGCACAGCCAUAACUGUUCUUGGGCCAUUUGGCUACUUCUGCUGGUAGCACAACAAGAAGAGCACACCAUCACCCUGCUGUUGGGCUCCCUGUAUGGUAGAAACUAGUUUGCACAUGCUUUGAGCUCACUACAGCUAUAUCAUAGAUGGCUGUAGACCAGCCAGAUGAGUAGAUGACCAGAGUAGAUGGUCAUCUAUUCAUCUGGCUGGUCUACAGCCAUCUACUAUAUAGCUGUAGUAGAUGGCUAUAGAGAUGGAGAGACCAAUUGAAUCUAACUGAGAUGGAGAGACCAAUUGAAUCUAACUGCUAUCUACGUUUAUUUACAGUAAUUUGCUCAAAUGUGGACUUUCACCGUUAAAACGUAACAGCAUAAAUAUGCAUAUAGUAAAUCCCAGUCAAAAAGUAAAUUAGUGAGAUGCCAGCUACCUUAUCUCUCCUCUUCAUUUACAUCGUGACUUAUCGCAGUUGACAUUUCAGUAAGGCUGUAGUAGCUGCUCUGAAUUUGAACAUUCAUAAGAAGAAGAUGCAAUACACUGGCUUUGAUGUCAAUAGAAUGUCAGUCUCUGCCUACUUUGUUCAGUCUGAACUUAAUUGCAGGAACUGCAUUAAUAGUCAACAUAAGCCAUCUGUUUAAACAUGUGUGUUUUGGAAAGAAGUGCCGUGUACAAUAAACACACUCACUGUAAUGACUCAUAUAUCUGUUUAUGUGAAAUGAGGAUUUGGCAAUUUCCCUCACAAAAACAUUAAAUUACAGGCUAAAAGCAGUUUUAUAUCAAGUUCAUUUGUUUACGUGGCAGGUCUGAUGGUUUGACAGUUCUGAUGCAGUCUGGGAAGUACAUUAACCAUGAGGUUGCUGAACCUCACUGUUGUGCCAGCCUUCCCUCAAGAACCUGUUUGGUAAGUCAAAGCUGCCCCAGAAAUGUCAGCAGCUCAUGGAGUUCAGUGGCUGAGAGAUACAAAGGGGAACAUUCACAACAUGUUCUUCAGAGCAUUUGGCCAGGGUGCACAUGGAGGAAGGGCUCUGCUGUCCAGGUCUGAUGGAGUGGUUAACUCCAAACCAACCCAGGUAAGCACGGUGUGACUGGCAGCCUUUCUAGGCAAUGCCUGUAACCACUGUAGACCCAUGAAUGAGCUGCUUUCGCAAGCACUACACUGAAUUCAGUCAAUGAUCUUGCAUGAGGUCAAGCUGUUCCCCUCUCCUUUGCAGACUGAAGCUUCCUCAAGCACAGGAAAGUCAGAAAUAUGCCACCUCUCAUUUGAUCUGUCAGAAUACCACAGGAAAGCAGGCUUUCAUUUCCCUGUUCUUCCUUGUAAAUGCAUAUUAGAUAUUACUUUUAAGAGUGAAACAUGCCGUUAGAUAUCUUUUCUGGUGUCAUUUCUAGGUAAGCUUUGUUAAAUUAAUCACGAUAAUGCACUGGUGCCUCAGCAGCAGCAUAAAUCCUGAACUGUCUGGUUUCAUACACGCUAAUGGAGAGCCUGGCCGCCUGCUUCCCACUCAGGUGUCCAGAGUAGACUUCUGUUACAUUUAUCAGUCACAGAUACACAAAAUAUGGGAGCCAGCGUAGAGCAGAGGCUCAGAAACUGCUGGUGAAGAAACAUAGUAAAGGCAAGUGGUAAAUUAGUAACUCUAUCACCUUUUCUCACCUGCCAUGAGUUCAGCCCUGCUAUUCUUUCAUUUUUUUUCUAGUAUGACUUUAAAUUCACGAGAGAUAAAAGAAGCCCUCCUUUUGUUUCCUUAAUUUUGCUGUUGCCCAGACUGCUUGCUCCGAUGGGCUGUAAUGUUGCAUUAAGUGAGGUCAGUGAUGUUUUAAGAUGUUCUCUAAUGUCAGCACUUUCCUCAUUUUUUUCCUACUUCAUUUCCCUGAGGGAAUUCUACACAGCAGAUAUUGUUAAUGCUUAUAUUUCUGUGAGUUUGAAAUGGACGUGGUCGCAAGAAACCUGCAGGAAUGAGUUUUAAGUAAGAUCUUCUCUCUCCUGUUUUGUAGUUUACAGAAUGUUUGGUAGCAUGGGCCUGUGUUUGUUUAACUAUAUUUAUGUAGCUAGCAGAAAUAUCCUAGCACCUACCACUACUCAGCAUAUGAAGCCAUUGUCCCUUCUGAGCUUAUUAGCUCCUAACAAUGUUUGGUUCAGAUUCUGUACCCCACCAUUAUCCUUUCGACAGACAGUCCUUUCCAUAGAAAGCUGAUACUGAAUUUUCCAUUGUUUCUCAUCACACAAUCUGAAUAUUUACACCCAUCAGAAGUUCCUAACAUGGAGAAACAUAUAUCUAACCUGCCCCGUAUCAGCACUUCAGGUGCACUAAGCUCUUAGAGCAUCUUGGUGACACAUCUAUUUUUAUCAGCAAAUCCAGCUCAUCACUAGAAACAUCUGUGUUCACAACUUCAAAUAUUUUGUAUCUGCAAAACACAAUCAGUCCAAAUGGCUUGAGAUCUUUGUUGGAUUUUCUAUACAUAAUGCAAACAAACAUCAACUAUUUUACUCUUCCUUCACCCUUGACAACAGUUGUUUGCAAAUGUACAUACUGUCAAAAGGCAAUGACACGAACAAGGCAUGAUUGUGAAGUAAGAGAUAUUUUUCACUGGUAAGAGAGGUCUUUGUAAAAAUCUAUUAAAGACACAUGGUCAGAUUUUUGAGUUGAAUGUCUGAAUGCAGACAUGCCAUUUGAAAAUUCUCAGGUAACUUAUUUAUGUCACCUGAAGACAGAAUCACAAAUAUACCAAAAGAAUGGUGAUUUUUUUAGGCAAUCAUGAAACUUAUUCUCAAUUCCUUUAUCAGAAUGGAAAGCGUGGCUGCAUAUUUAUCAUUGUUCAGAGGACUGUUUUUAGCCAGUAUAACAAAAUGCAUAAAAUUAUUCACCAUACCUUGAUUUAGCACUGCACAGCGCCCUCUGCUCACGCUGGUUUCAGCCCAGUCUGCUGUCUUCUUGUUGCUGAGCAAUGGCUGCACACCAAGGGUCAGGCCAAGCCACUUGGCUGGGAACAGCCACCACAGUGGCACAGGGCAGGAGCGGCUGCAGGAGGCACUGGGCAGGACUCCAUGCCAGCCCAUGGCCCAGAGGUUGGAUGUACCUGGACUAGGUCAUCUCCUAAGGGCCCUGCCAGCAUCAACUAUUCCGUGAUUAUGAAGUUGACAGGAAGUCAUGGACCGAUGUCCUAACAAGGGUUGAAUUUCAUCAGAAUUGAGUUUAAACUGCUACUAAGUUCUUAUCAAGAAAAACUAAACAAUGAGUAGUAUCCUGUCUUGAAACAGUAUUUAUUUACAACAAAGAACAAUGAAUGGAAAUAUAAAUAAGCGAAGCAGAUUAGCUCCAUACUGAUAAUCCUAGCUCCACAUACUGUUUUUAAAUGUUAUCUGUUUCUCCUCUGGUAACUUCCCUCAGAUUGUGCUGGAUUUUGACCUUUAAAAGGUCCCUCAAAGUAUCUCUUUUUUUUUCCAUUUACAUUCACACAGUUCUUAAGUGUACUGCCCCAUCUGGCUGUUCUAUGUUAACGGCCCAUCUUCUGGACUCAUGUAGUAACUUGCUGGUAUGACGGAUCAUUCGCUACCAUCUGGGACAUGCUAUUGCCCAGUAUCCAGUUCCAUUCCUGAGGCAACCUUAGCUCAUUCAUUCCUACAGGUAUUUUUAAAUGAAUCCACGUGUAUUUUCAGAACAAUACAGAAAUGUGCCUCACAUCAUCCAUCUGGCAUGCAUUUACAAAACGUGCCCAUUCCUCUCCACUAAAAGUGUUCAGGAUAAGUUUUAGAAGACUCACUAUUGAAUUGAUUUGUACUCCAGUUUUACACAGACUUGGAUCAUGUCUAGUGCUUCCAGUGGGAAUAGCUCUGUUUUACCAAUGUUUUCAUAUUAAUGGUUUUGCUUUAGAUUUCUCUUACAGAGCUGGAGAAUAGUUCAGGGAAUAUUCUGAAUGGAAAUCAGAAGUUUUAUCUUCAUGAGAAAGAUGCAAAAUGAUUUCUCAGCUGCGUUGCGUCCUCUGUCAGGGCAUAAGAAUAAUCACCCUCCCUGAGGAAAUGUUUCUGAAGCCAGUUGUAGCUACUUAGAUAUUCUUUACAGCACCCCACAAGACAACACCUCCACUCCCAACCCAGCCACUUGCCAUUACUAAUGGGCUCCAUGUGGCAUGAUUCAUUCCCCUGGCUGUGCCAAGUACUUUGUUGUCUUGGUUGCCAACAUGGUCAGCUAUUGCUGGAAAAAGAAAGCUGGUUACAUUUGGGAGAGAGAAGAUAAUAGAGGUGUUUACCUAUGAAUCACAGAAUCUCAGAAUGGUUUGGGUUGGAAGGGAUUUAAAGCCCAUCCAGUUCCAGCCCUCAGCCAUGGGCAGAGUUCUCACCUGCAAGAUCAGGCUGCCCAUGGUCCCAUCCAGCCUGGCCAUGAAUGCCUCCAGGAACUUGGUUAUUUGGAAGCACAAUUUACACCCUUGUAUCCUUUUCCUUGUGAUUCUAUAGCAUGUAGCUUCUCAUAACUUAAUAAUAACACAGCUAAUAAUACAGACAGCUAAUAAUACAGUUAAUAAUACAGUUUUGUAAUACAAUAUAGUUAAUAAUGCAGCUUCCUAACAGUGGUUUUAACUUUAACCAGACUAGCCUGUACUAUUGAAGAAGUUUAAUUUCAAGAAGUCAGUUCCACCCUUCAUAUGGGUUCAGGAAAGCACACUGUUUAGCAGAUAACCUUCACACACAAAACAAAAGCUGAUACUGGACAAACUUGCAGUAUAUCUCAUAGCCCUGCAAAGUGCACCUUGCAACUAUGGGUUAUAUUUAGCUCUCACCUUGUUUUGAGAACAAGGUCAAUCAGGUCUCAUGUUUGGGGAAAUCCAGGAUGCAGUUCUUGCAGGUGGCACCAUCUGAGCCCCUCUGAAAUGGACACUCCCUGCUAGAGGUCACAUUCACUUACACCAGCCCCAUGCCCUGAGAACAGACCAAGGGCAUGAGUCCCAGCCAUAACUCACUUAUGGCAUGUAAUGAGGCAGUCUUGCACUGCUCAACUACUCAUGCAAAAGAAGCUCUCCUUAAGCUCAGCAAUAAGCAAGAGAUCAUUUUACAGUGACCCAGUAUUACCAAAUAUGGGUUUGUGGCUAUAGCCUAUUGAGCAGACAGAAUAUAUCACCAUUCUCAUUGCUGAUUUGUGCUGCCUGUACACUCCUACACUGAUAUGACUGCAGAGCUGAGUUACUGGCUUAGAGAAGCUUCAAUAGGUGAGGCAAAAUAAUCAGGGGUGUGAGAGUCAUCAUUGACCAUAGUCACUCUUUCAUCAUCAGUGACACUGGUCAUGCCAAUACUCAGGAUUAGCUGUUUGCCCAGGUGAUAUCCCUAUAUGGGUUUCAACAUCAUCUUCAGCACAGCUUAUCAGUCCCUACAGGCCAGGCAGCUGUUCCUGUGAAGCCUGUUUUUAAUAUCAAGGCUCUGCCACUUUUAAGUGUGUGUCAAAACAGUGCUGGGGCCUCCAGCUCUAGCUCUAGGCCCCGCAUCCAGCACAGCAAAAGCCAGCUGUGCCCACCUGAUCCCCAAAAUCUGAUGGUUGGAUCCCAGAAAAAAAGGAAAAUCUGGCAAAUACAGUUCUGCUAUAGGCACUGGACUAAAGCUAAUGUGCACUCAACCAGAGUUUCAUCUACAGUCAAAGUUACAUAGAUCAGAUAAUCUACUGAAGUCAGAGAAACAUCGGACAGACUUAGGCUGGCUCUGUCAUUUCAAGACAGCAGCAGUUAUUGCUUUUAUUUUCAGUGAAACGAUAAAUGCAGGUUUAUUGCUCAUUGGAAGUGGCGACUGGUUUGGACAGGAAGGUUUUGCACACACAUAAGAAAACAGCAAGGAUUGAAGUUAAAUGGUAAAAUGUCACAUCUUAAGAAGCUAUGUAUUUUGGUAAGGAGAAAAUGGAAAUAGUCAUGGGAAUCUGAACAGUGCCACUCAGCUACUCUAGUUCAUCCUUUAGCUCUGCAUGUGAGAAAGCAAGCGUCUUUAGUGUGAGGCUCUUAUUCAAGUGCUCUUCUCAGUGUGUUUCUUGCCUAUUACAUGAAGGCAAAGGGGAGCUCUUCAGGCAACUGAGGAACAUCAUGAGACAAAGCCAAAUAGCCACGUGAAACCAACAGCCAUGAGUGAGGAAUGGGCAAGCACUGGAGAACUACACUUGUGUAACCCCCUGGACUUCACAGCAAGAGUUUAAACACAGGCUGUGACUCGUUUCCCUGUAUGUGGCUCCCCAACUAAGCAAUCUAAUUAAGACCCAGAACUUCGGCUGGUUAUCUUACAUAAAAACAAACAGACAAAAAGAGGCACUCGUUUUCUUUUGUAACAAUCCUGUCACUCACCUUAUGGUCUUCCACAUGCUUCCUGAGUUUGCUCUGAAAAGGCUGAGAAAUGCAAGUAGAGAAGUCAUUAAGCCUUAACAGGAAGGAAGUGAACUGGAAAAUCUUGUUCAGUGUUUUUCUGUCUAGUACAUGCGAUGCUUGACAAGGUCAGGUUCUCACUGUACCACUCAGGACAGAUAAUUUUGCAACAUUGCAACAUUUAUGACUAGAAAUAGAAAAGGAAUGACAGGGGGAAUUAAAAAGGAAACUAAAAAUCCAAAGACGUAGCUGUCCGGUCACCUGUGGUGGUAUCAAGGGAAAAAGAGGCAGUCAUUUCUUAUCAUAGCUGUUUGUUGGAUCCUCUUCUCAUCCUUGGUUCUAUGCUCAGUUAUCAAUUGUUAAACACCAUCAGUGGUUCAGCAGUAGCCAUUUCUGUUCCUCAACUACUGGAAGCUUUUUUCCUUGUAAGUCCUUUAAAUACAAAUAAGCUGGUGGCAUAAAGUGUGACUCCCUUCAGUGAUCCAAGCACAAAGAAAGUAGCCCUUCUUCCCCACCCCACAGCCUGUGGGGUGUGGAAGUCCAGGCCAAGAGACAGCUUCAGGCACCUGUAGUCAACCAAGUCCUGCCACCUGUGUUUUCUGCCAGUCACUUUUCUGCACAGAGGGUCACUUCACGGACACACUGGAACGUUCAACUUGGUUUUACCUUCACUAUGAGGAAAGAGAAUCCAGAAGGAUUUUAAAAGAAUGAAAGAAAGAUUGGUUUCCUUCUAACACACUAUUAAUUAUGUUAAUAUUUCUAGAGGGUGUUUUAGUGGCUGUCCUCAGCAUUAAGUCUGUAUUGAAUACCAUCUUAUUUUAAAAUGCAUGUGAAUUUUA